UACAGAGGGGGCAAGCGUUGUUCGGAAUUACUGGGCGUAAAGGGCGCGUAGGCGGCCUGUUAAGUCGAACGUGAAAUCCCUGGGCUCAACCCAGGAACUGCGUCCGAUACUGGCAGGCUUGAAUUCGGGAGAGGGAUGCGGAAUUCCAGGUGUAGCGGUGAAAUGCGUAGAUAUCUGGAGGAACACCGGUGGCGAAGGCGGCAUCCUGGACCGAUAUUGACGCUGAGGCGCGAAAGCCAGGGAGCAACGGG
rnacentral:rRNA from 1 species